GCCUAAUACAUGCAAGUCGAGCGAACAGAUGAGAAGCUUGCUUCUCUGAUGUUAGCGGCGGACGGGUGAGUAACACGUGGGUAACCUACCUAUAAGACUGGGAUAACUCCGGGAAACCGGGGCUAAUACCGGAUAAUAUUUUGAACCGCAUGGUUCAAUAGUGAAAGACGGUUUCGGCUGUCACUUAUAGAUGGACCCGCGCCGUAUUAGCUAGUUGGUAAGGUAACGGCUUACCAAGGCGACGAUACGUAGCCGACCUGAGAGGGUGAUCGGCCACACUGGAACUGAGACACGGUCCAGACUCCUACGGGAGGCAGCAGUAGGGAAUCUUCCGCAAUGGGCGAAAGCCUGACGGAGCAACGCCGCGUGAGUGAUGAAGGUCUUCGGAUCGUAAAACUCUGUUGUUAGGGAAGAACAAAUUUGUUAGUAACUGAACAAGUCUUGACGGUACCUAACCAGAAAGCCACGGCUAACUACGUGCCAGCAGCCGCGGUAAUACGUAGGUGGCAAGCGUUAUCCGGAAUUAUUGGGCGUAAAGCGCGCGUAGGCGGUUUCUUAAGUCUGAUGUGAAAGCCCACGGCUCAACCGUGGAGGGUCAUUGGAAACUGGGAAACUUGAGUGCAGAAGAGGAGAGUGGAAUUCCAUGUGUAGCGGUGAAAUGCGCAGAGAUAUGGAGGAACACCAGUGGCGAAGGCGGCUCUCUGGUCUGUAACUGACGCUGAUGUGCGAAAGCGUGGGGAUCAAACAGGAUUAGAUACCCUGGUAGUCCACGCCGUAAACGAUGAGUGCUAAGUGUUAGG
rnacentral:rRNA from 2 species